rnacentral:rRNA from 1 species
GUGCCAGCAGCCGCGGUAAUACGGAGGGUGCAAGCGUUGCUCGGAAUCACUGGGCGUAAAGCGACCGCAGGCGGCCUGACAAGUCGGAUGUGAAAGCCCUGGGCUCAACUCAGGAAUUGCAUUCGAAACUGGCAGGCUCGAGUACGGGAGAGGGGGGUGGAAUUCCUGGUGUAGGGGUGAAAUUCGUUGAUAUCAGGAGGAACACCGGCGGCGAAGGCGGCCCCCUGGCCCGCAACUGACGCUCAUGGUCGAAAGCGUGGGGAGCAAACAGGAUUAGAUACCCGCGUAGUCC